AUUUGAGACUGCUGAUCUCCCUAUGAGGU
rnacentral:piRNA from 1 species